CCUACGGGGGGCAGCAGUGGGGAAUAUUGCACAAUGGGCGAAAGCCUGAUGCAGCAACGCCGCGUGAGGGACGACGGCCUUCGGGUUGUAAACCUCUUUUAGUAGGGAAGAAGCGAAAGUGACGGUACCUGCAGAAAAAGCACCGGCUAACUACGUGCCAGCAGCCGCGGUAAUACGUAGGGUGCAAGCGUUAUCCGGAAUUAUUGGGCGUAAAGAGCUCGUAGGCGGUUUGUCACGUCUGCUGUGAAAACUGGAGGCUCAACCUCCAGCCUGCAGUGGGUACGGGCAGACUAGAGUGCGGUAGGGGAGAUUGGAAUUCCUGGUGUAGCGGUGGAAUGCGCAGAUAUCAGGAGGAACACCGAUGGCGAAGGCAGAUCUCUGGGCCGUAACUGACGCUGAGGAGCGAAAGCAUGGGGAGCGAACAGGAUUAGAUACCCUAGUAGUC
rnacentral:rRNA from 1 species